rnacentral:rRNA from 1 species
ACGAACGCUGGCGGCGUGCUUAACACAUGCAAGUCGCACGGAAAGGCCCUGCUUUUGUGGGGUGCUCGAGUGGCGAACGGGUGAGUAACACGUGAGUAACCUGCCCUUGACUUUGGGAUAACUUCAGGAAACUGGGGCUAAUACCGGAUAGGAGCUCCUGCUGCAUGGUGGGGGUUGGAAAGUUUCGGCGGUUGGGGAUGGACUCGCGGCUUAUCAGCUUGUUGGUGGGGUAGUGGCUUACCAAGGCUUUGACGGGUAGCCGGCCUGAGAGGGUGACCGGCCACAUUGGGACUGAGAUACGGCCCAGACUCCUACGGGAGGCAGCAGUGGGGAAUAUUGCACAAUGGGCGGAAGCCUGAUGCAGCAACGCCGCGUGCGGGAUGACGGCCUUCGGGUUGUAAACCGCUUUCGCCUGUGACGAAGCGUCAGUGACGGUAAUGGGUAAAGAAGCACCGGCUAACUACGUG